ACAUACUGUACCUUGAUUCUUGAUGAAAAUCGGUUGUAAUGACAUUUUCUUGAUUUGUCUCUCAGAUUUAGAGUCGUAUGUUCAGGGACACAUGAAAAAGCAUGGGACCAAGAGCCCAAGUCAAGGGUGAGUAGAGCCUCUAUGAUCUGAUCUGUGCUUCUGCAAUGUUUUCAUCCCAAUGAGAAAAUAAUACCAUGAAUGUAACAACUAGAAAUG
rnacentral:misc_RNA from 1 species